rnacentral:rRNA from 1 species
GACAGAGGGUGCAAGCGUUAAUCGGAAUUACUGGGCGUAAAGGGCGUGUAGGUGGAUUUAUAAGUCAGAUGUGAAAGCCCUGGGCUUAACCUAGGAAUGGCAUAUGAAACUGUGAGUCUAGAGUGAAGUAGAGGGUGGCGGAAUUUCCGGUGUAGCGGUGAAAUGCGUAGAUAUCGGAAGGAACACCAGUGGCGAAGGCGGCCACCUGGACUUUAACUGACACUGAGGCGCGAAAGCGUGGGGAGCAAACAGG